rnacentral:rRNA from 1 species
ACUUGACUAGCUGAGAGGAGGUGCAUGGCCGUCGUCAGUUCGUACUGUGAAGCAUCCUGUUAAGUCAGGCAACGAGCGAGACCCACGCCAACAGUUGCCAGCUCGUCCUCCGGGGAUGGUGGGGACAUUGUUGGGACCGCCUCUGCUAAAGAGGAGGAAGGAAUGGGCAACGGUAGGUCAGCAUGCCCCGAAUUAUCUGGGCUACACGCGGGCUACAAUGGGUGGGACAAUGGGUAUCGACACCGAAAGGUGAAGGCAAUCUCCUAAACCCAUCCGUAGUUCGGAUUGUGGGCUGCAACUCGCCCACAUGAAGCUGGAAUCUGUAGUAAUCGUGUCUCAAAAUGGCACGGUGAAUAUGUCCCUGCUCCUU